CACUCAUGCACUGGAAGGAAAUCCUUUAUUGCAUUAUCCUGUCACAGAAAGUUUUUCGACUUGGCUUUUGCAACGGCAAAUAAUUUCACAAUUUCAUUUCAAGCGCCGAAUUGAACGGUCGACCUGGAAAAAGCACCAAGCACCACUCGUAGGAGCGCAACACCGAGCAGCAGUUCCCUUCAACCACCGGACGCCACUCUCUGGCGAAUGGUGUUACAAACAUUCUCAAUUAGAAAUAUAUAUAAAACCAAGUGGGGCACUGUCUUGCAUUGUCAUUACAAAUCAACCGUUUGAAAAGUCGAUGUCACAGUGAAAACACAAAUUCUAAAAGAAUAUCUAACUUACAAAAAAGAAACACAAGUGCAUGCAGACUGUGAAGGACAGUGAAUAUUUGAGAACUUUUUGGUGUUUUUAAGUUUUGUGCAAAACUUUUUUUCCACUUGUCUUUCGGUUGUCCGUGGAAAGUUUCAAAUCUUCGUGUGUGAUUUUGUGUUUUUUUGUCGAUAAAACUCGCAUACUUAUUUGCCUUAACUGUGCAAUUUACUGAAUUAUUUCACAACAACUAAAGCAAAUCUAAAUUUUUAAGAUUUUGUAAAAAGUUUUUUACAUAAAUUUAUUUUAAAUGUUGAAACGCAAACGUUAUAAAAAGCAACACAACCACUAAAUGUGAGAAGAAACACGCAAUUUGCGCAGCGAAAUUAAAAUUGUUGGAAAAAACCAAAAGUUGUAUGCUUCAGCCAAGUAACGGUGUAACAUUUGCCAUGAACCUCAUACCAAAUAUGUGCGAUAAAAUGUUUAUACUGAUUUUAUUUUAUUAUAACGGUUCAUAUAAUUGGAGUAAAAAGGUUUAAACAAAUAGAAAACGCAUAGCACUUGAAGCGCAGCACGCAGUAAAGCCGCAGAGGAAGGACACCAGUGUAGCAGUGCGCGGCAGUGACGUUGGGACGGACAAUUUGUCGACGUGUAAAAAGUUCGAAAAUUCCCAAUUUGAUUUUAGGAAAUAAAAUAAUUUUCAACACUUUGAAUUUUAAAAAACAAAAAAAAUUAUACUACUAAGAAAACUAAUUAACAACAACAACAAUAAUUACAAAAAUUUGUGUAUUAACUAAAUAAAAAUCAACAACGAAUUUCGAGAUACUUGAUAACAUAAACAAAAAGUAUUUCACAACUCACGGAAAAUUCGCCAAACAGCGCGAAAGUGGAUAACUCGAAAAAGAAACCGCUUGUCAACACAAACAUGCCUAACGAAUUCUAAAGAUAAAAACGGCAAGUAAAUAGUGAAAACAGGUAAUAAACAUUAAAAGCGUUAAUGAAAAAGUGAACAAUAGCCAAAAAAAAACAGUAAAAAAAGCUACGAGGCGCUUAAAUUUAAAGUAAACAAAAAAAUUCCAAAACAAUAAAACAAGCAGUAAACGAAACGACUUUUAUUUUCGUACAGCACUACGUCAGCUGCCGGAAAGCGCGAGCUGAUUGGAGUGCAAACUAAGCAAUUGUCGGAUAUUGCGACUCCGAGCCACGCUGCGCCUAUCAGCAGACCGCAGACAAGCAGCCAAGCAGCUAAGCCGCCAGUCAGCUGUUUACGACGCAAUAAAGGUUUACAAAUACAACUACAUUUAUAUGUAUGAAUGUAUAUACAUUUAGAGCGGCGAAAUAUUUAUUGUGAUUAAAUUACCUGUGCAGCAGGCACUAUACUCCGCGUAAAUUGUCUCCUAACCCCGCUGUCAGCACUGACAGCUGUAUAACUGUCGUAAAUCGACGUUACAAACUAGCGUAGUGGCACAAUAAAGCCAUAAAUUGGGCUGUAGAGACGUCAGCGGCGUAGACCUUCAAAGUCAAAAUACAAGCAACAGCAUAGACAACAACAAAUACAACAAAUAUUGAAAAGCAAACUUUUGUUAUCGUGCCACACAACUAAUACACGUACAUAUGUAUGUAUAUACGUGUGGCUGUAGCAGCGACAAAGCAAAAAAUAACAAUAAACAUAGCAACAACAAAAAACAAGAAUAAAAACUUAUAAACACAAAUAAGAAAAAAUAGAUAAGAAAAAAAUCAAAAUACAAAAAAAAAUCAAAAUAAAAAUAUUUUACUAAUAAUCAAAGCAACACACAAACAAAGCGCGACAUUAGUUGUACAUUAGCGCAAACAAACAUACAUACAUACAUACAAACAGACAGAUAGACGUAGUCUGAUAGCUGGCAUUCGCCACUCGCCGCCGAUCAUCGGCUCUAUAUAUAUGCGCUGGCACAGCUCGUAGCCACAGAUCGUACGUAUGCUGAUCGUCAUUUAAUGUGCAUAGCAAAUUGCCAACAAUUCAGUCGUCUUUUGACUUUUGUGCGGAUAACUACCAAGCGAACAAGGAUCACAGUGCAUUGAGCCACAAACAAAAGGAGAACAGCGCCCAGAGAGCCACAACAAAAACCACAGCAGCGAGCAGCGAUAUACCGUUCCAAAUCGCCAAGUAAUUUGGAUCAUUCGAAUUUUCUGUGCUGAACGGUGCAAAGAAACCGUUUUCCAAUGUCGAUUAAUUCGCCAAUACACACAAACUCUGACCUGAUUUAAACAGGCAAAAAGCAGGCAACCAAAUUCGUAUAGCAGUGCGUGUUAAAAAUAACAACAACAACAGCAAUUAGAACAACGCCACACAUAAAGGGUGUUGUUUUUUCGUUUCCGUUUCGUUUUCGAAAAUAUUAUCUAUCAGUUUCGUUUUGCGUUUCUCGUUAUUUUUCUUGUUUUUUUUUUAAA